CCUACGGGGGCUGCAGUGGGGAAUAUUGGACAAUGGGCGAAAGCCUGAUCCAGCCAUGCCGCGUGUGUGAAGAAGGCCUUCGGGUUGUAAAGCACUUUCAGUGGGGAAGAAAGCCUUGGGGCUAAUACCCUCGAGGAAGGACAUCACCCACAGAAGAAGCACCGGCUAACUCCGUGCCAGCAGCCGCGGUAAUACGGAGGGUGCGAGCGUUAAUCGGAAUUACUUGGCGUAAAGCGCGCGUAGGCGGUCUGAUAAGCCGGUUGUGAAAGCCCCGGGCUCAACCUGGGAACGGCAUCCGGAACUGUCAGGCUAGAGUGCAGGAGAGGAAGGUAGAAUUCCCGGUGUAGCGGUGAAAUGCGUAGAGAUCGGGAGGAAUACCAGUGGCGAAGGCGGCCUUCUGGACUGACACUGACGCUGAGGUGCGAAAGCGUGGGUAGCAAACAGGAUUAGAUACCCGAGUAGUC
rnacentral:rRNA from 1 species